rnacentral:rRNA from 1 species
UACGAAGGGGGCUAGCGUUGCUCGGAAUCACUGGGCGUAAAGCGCACGUAGGCGGGUCGUUAAGUCGGGGGUGAAAUCCUGGAGCUCAACUCCAGAACUGCCUUCGAUACUGGCGACCUUGAGUCCGGGAGAGGUGAGUGGAACUCCGAGUGUAGAGGUGAAAUUCGUAGAUAUUCGGAAGAACACCAGUGGCGAAGGCGGCUCACUGGCCCGGUACUGACGCUGAGGAGCGAAAGCGUGGGGAGCGAACAGG